rnacentral:snoRNA from 1 species
UCACUGUGAUGAGUAAUGAAUUAAACAUUUGUAGUUUCCACCAAAAGCUUGGCUGAUGAUGGCCUAACUUCCUUGGAUUUCUGAGCAA